GACGAACGCUGGCGGCGUGCUUAACACAUGCAAGUCGAACGGAAAGGCCCUGCUUUUGUGGGGUGCUCGAGUGGCGAACGGGUGAGUAACACGUGAGUAACCUGCCCUUGACUUUGGGAUAACUUCAGGAAACUGGGGCUAAUACCGGAUAGGAGCUCCUGCUGCAUGGUGGGGGUUGGAAAGUUUCGGCGGUUGGGGAUGGACUCGCGGCUUAUCAGCUUGUUGGUGGGGUAGUGGCUUACCAAGGCUUUGACGGGUAGCCGGCCUGAGAGGGUGACCGGCCACAUUGGGACGGAGAUACGGCCCAGACUCCUACGGGAGGCAGCAGUGGGGAAUAGUGCACAAUGGGCGGAAGCCUGAUGCAGCAACGCCGCGUGCGGGAUGACGGCCUGCGGGUUGUAAACCGCUUUCGCCUGUGACGAAGCGUGAGUGACGGUAAUGGGUAAAGAAGCACCGGCUAACUACGUG
rnacentral:rRNA from 1 species